GUGGCAGCCGCCGCGGUAAUACCGGCGGCCCAAGUGGUGGCCACUAUUAUUGGGCCUAAAGCGUCCGUAGCCGGGCCUGUAAGUCCCUGGCGAAAUCCCACGGCUCAACCGUGGGGCUUGCUGGGGAUACUGCAGGCCUAGGGACCGGGAGAGGCCGGGGGUACUCCUGGGGUAGGGGUGAAAUCCUAUAAUCCCAGGAGGACCGCCAGUGGCGAAGGCGCCCGGCUGGAACGGGUCCGACGGUGAGGGACGAAGGCCAGGGGAGCAAACCGGAUUAGAUACCCGGGUAGUCC
rnacentral:rRNA from 1 species